AGGACGAACGCUGGCGGCGUGCUUAACACAUGCAAGUCGAGCGGAAAGGCCUUUCGGGGUACUCGAGCGGCGAACGGGUGAGUAACACGUGAGUAAUCUGCCCAUCGCUUCAGGAUAGCCAUCGGAAACGGUGAUUAAUACUGGAUAUGACAUUCCUUCGCAUGUUGGGGUGUGGAAAGUUUUUUCGGCGGUGGAUGUGCUCGCGGCCUAUCAGCUUGUUGGUGGGGUAAUGGCCUACCAAGGCUUUGACGGGUAGCCGGCCUGAGAGGGUGACCGGCCACACUGGGACUGGAGACGACGGCCCAGACCUCCGUACGGGAGGCAG
rnacentral:rRNA from 1 species